rnacentral:lncRNA from 1 species
ACGUCCUAAGAUUUAGAAUUUUUGGGCUCCUCACAAGAUGGAAUUAUUUUGUAUAUCAUAAUUUAUAUUAUCCCUGGGUCCCUAGAAAGAACCUAUAUGGAGGAAAACCAAGGGUAUUGUGGACGACAAGGUCCACUAAGUUAUUACUUCUAAGAGAGAUCGAACGACUUAUUUGUCCUUUUCAGAUACGCAAGAGAAAGACUCUUUUAGUCAUGUCUAGAAAAUGAUGAAGUAUUGUACAAGAUGAUUCUCGCUAGUUUGUUUUCAACCGGUACCAUCAAAAUAAGACCGGUGAAAAUUGGACACUAUUAUUGAUCUCAAAGAUAUCAACCUUGGGGUAAUUGAAGAUCCCAAAUAUGUCUUCGUCGGUACUCUUCUUUAAGUGAAGGAUUGAUUUCCUAUGAAAAGAUUAUCCGGAGCAUCUAGGAAUUUGAUGCUCGGAUUUUAAAUUACGAAUUAGGUAAAAUUAGCUAUUUUAUUUCGGUUUAAAGUUUGAUUUUACGGAGAUUGGUAUUCAAGAGUUUGUUUGGUUCAUUUUGCUUAUUCAAUAAUUUAUUUGGAUUGGAUUGGUAUGUCUUUAGGUUUUGACUCGUUCGAUUGGAUUUAUUUGUCUCGAGGCUUUGAUCGGUUCGUUUGAUUAUCGCUCGAUUGAUUAGGAUACUAGGUAAAUUACUUUGAUAGACAUAUAACUAUUAUCAGAAAAAUAUUAUUUUAAGAAAUAUAUAAUUUUAAUAUUACAUAACAUAAAGAUAUUUUGAUGAAGGUAUGUAUGACUUCAUAAUCGCAAAUAAAUAUUCUUUUUUUCAAAAAGAAUAUAUGAUUUGAUUAUCAUAAAGAAAAAAUAACAAUUUUAAAUAUUUAAAUUAUUCUUGUAAAAAUGUAUAAUUUGAAUUUUAGAAAUCAAAACAAUGUUAUUGUAAAAAGAAUAUACUUUAACGAUCAUAAAAAUUAGUUUUUAUUAAAAAGUGCCAUCGCACAUGUAAAUAUAUUGUGCAUCAAUUUGUACAAAUAUCACAAACAAGUAGAGGAUCCCACAGUGGGGCCCAAUAACUGCUAGACUCACUCUUGUAAGUGAUUUUUGUUCGAAAUACUACAUAAUAUACGUGCAUGCAGGUAUUUAUUUUUCUUUUGACAAAAUAUAUGAUUGAUUAUAUUUAAAAAAAAGUAAUUUUAUAUAUAAAAAGUAUAGGAAAAGAAAAUACAUAUUUUUAAUAUAAGCACAUAAAUUUAGAAAAUACAAAUUUUUUAAUAAAUACAUAAUUUGAUUAUCAAUUGAAAAAUAUUAAAUACAAAUAUUAUUUUUAUUUAAGAUAAUUUGACUCAUAUGAGCUUAAUUAUAUCUCAGUUAAUGCAAGACAACCUUCGAUUCUAACAAAUAUUUUCAUAAGUCUUACCUUAUAGGAAAAAAAUUAGGGUCAAUAAUUUAAUUUUUUAUGUCGUGACUGGGCUCAUUUCAAUGGGUUACCUACGAUCCGACUCGUAGGGUGAAUUCGAAUCGCAAUCAAGUCACACGUAGUUAUAAGUAAUAAAAAACUUAUUUUGGUGAACCGGUUGUUUAAUAUUGAUUGCAUACACUGGUUAGAGUGGUAUAGGUCUGAGUCAGACUUGAUCAAUCAGCAUAGUUCAGGCUAACGAAGUUUUGAAGUGUUUUGAAUCACGUUCGCAUAGUUCCCCUACCAGGCUGAGAGACUCUACAAUGAUGACUACAGUGUGAGAAAGACGAUUAAGAGAUGAAUUGGGUUUUAACUACGAAGACGUCUAAGAUUUAGAAUUUUUGGGCUCCUCACAAGAUUGAUUAUUUGUAUAAUCAUAAUUAUAUUAUCCCUGAUCUAGAAAGAACAUAUAAGGAGAACACCAAGGGUAGUGUGGACGACAAAGUCCUAAAAGUUAUUCUUCUAAGGAAGAGAUUCGAACGGACUUAAUUGGGUCUUUUUCAAGAAUACCAAGAGAAAGACUAUUUUAGUCAUGUCUAGAAGAAAAUGAUGGGUGAAGUAUUGUACAGAGAUUCUCGCUAGUUUGUUUUCAACCAGUAACCCCCCAUCAGAAAAACUAAAGACGGUGAAUUGGGACACUAUAUUGAUCCUCAAGACAAUCAACCUUGGGGUAAUGAAGAUCCCAAAUAUGUCUUCGUCGGUACUUUAUUUAAGUGAAGGAUGAUUUGAUUUCAUAUGAAAGAUUAUCCGGAGCAUCUAGGAAUUGAUGCUCGGAUUUUUAAAAAAAAAUUACGAAUAGGGUAAAAUUUAGCUAUUUAUUUCGGUUUAAAGUUUGAUUUUACGGAGAUUGGUAUUCAAGAGUUUGUUUGGUUCAUUUUGCUUAUUCAAUAAUUUAUUUGGAUUGGAUUGGUAUGUCUUUAGGUUUUGACUCGUUCGAUUGGAUUUAUUUGUCUCGAGGCUUUGAUCGGUUCGUUUGAUUAUCGCUCGAUUGAUUAGGAUACUAGGUAAAUUACUUUGAUAGACAUAUAACUAUUAUCAGAAAAAUAUUAUUUUAAGAAAUAUAUAAUUUUACAUAUACAUAACAUAAAGCAUUGUGAUGAGGUGAAGGUAUGUAUGCUUCUAAUCGCAAAUAAAUAUUUUUUUUCAAAAAGAAAGAUAUAUGAUUGAUUCAUCAAGAAAAAUAAACAAUUUUAAAAUAUUUAAAUUAUUCUUGUAAAAAUGUUAUUUGAAUUUAGAAACAAAACAAUGUUAUUGUAAAAAAAAAGAAUAUACUUUAACGGAUCAUAAACUAGUUUUUAUUAAAAAGUGCCACGCAAUGUAAAUAUAUGUGAAUCCAAUUGUACAAAUAUCACAAACAAGUAGAGGAUCCCACAGUGGGGCCCAAUAACUGCUAGACUCACUCUGGUAAGUGAUUUUGUUCGAAAUCGACAUAAUUACGUGCAUGACAGGUGUGGUAUUGAUUUUCUUUUGACAAAAUAUAUGAGUUGAUUAUAUUAAAAAAAAGUAAUUUAUAGAUAAAAAGUAUAGGGAAAAGACAAAUAAAUAUUUUUAAUAUAAGCAAUAAAAUUUUGGGAAAAUAAAAUUUUUUAAUAAAUACAUAAUUUGAUUAUCCAAUGAAAAAAAAAAAUAUAAAUACAAAUAUUAUUUUAUUUAAGAUAAUUUUGACUCAAUGAGCUUUAAUUAUAUCUCAGUUUAAUGCCAAGACAACCUUCGAUUCUAAAAACAAAUCUCUUCACCAAGUCUAGUACCUUAUAGAAAAAAAAUUAGGGUGAAUAAUGUAAUUUUUUAUGUCGUGACUGGGCCAUUCAAUGGGUUUGCCUACGUAUCGAACUUAUGGGUGAAUCGAUUGCAAUAAGGCACAGUUAGUUUUAAGUAAUAAAAAAUUCUUUUUGGUUGAACCGGUUCGUUUAAUGUUUGAUUGGCAUCCAAAUGGUCGGUUGGUAUAUGUUGAGUUCAGACUUGAUUAAGUCAGCAUUAGGUUAGGUAAAGAGUUUGAAUCAAGUUCGCAUAGUCCCCUCAGGUAAGAGACUCACAAUGAUGACUACAAGUUUGAGAAAGAAUUAAGAUGAUGAAUUGUGGUUUUAACCACGAAGAGUCUAAGAUUUAGAAUUUUGGGCAUCCUCACAAGAUUGAUUAUUUGUAUAAUCAUAAUUUAUAUUAUCCCUGUCUAGAAAGAACCUAUAAUGGAGAAAGCAAGGGUAGUGGACGACAAAGUCCACUAAAAGUUAUUACUGCUUAGAAGAGAUCGAACACUUAAUUGUGUCUCUUUUCAAGAAUACCAAGAGAAAGACUCUUUUAGUCAUGUCUAGAAAAUGAUGAAGUAUUGUACAAGAUAAUUCUCGCUAGUUUGUUUUCAACCGGUACCAUCAGAAACUAAAGACGGUGGUUGGGACACUAUUAUUGAUCUCAAAGAUAUCAACCUUGGGGUAUUGAAGAAUCCCAAUAUAUGGUCUCGUCGGUGUACUCUUUUUUAAGCAGGAUUGAUUUCCUAUGGAAAAAUUAAUCAGAGCAUCUAGGAAUUUGAUGCCGGAUUUUAAAUACGAAUUAGGAAAAAUUAGCUAUUUUAUUUCGGUUUAAAGUUGAUUUACGGAGACUUGGUAUUCAAGAGUUUGUUUGUUCAUUUUUGUUAUCAAGUAAUUAUUUGGAUUGGAUGGUAUUGGCUUUAGGUUUUGACUCGUUCGAUGGAUUAUUUGUUCUCGAGGCUUUGAUCGGUUUCGUUGAUUCUCGCUCGAUUGAUAGGGAUUACUAGGUAAAUACUUUGAUAGACUCAUUAACUAUUAUCAGAAAAAAUUACUUUUAAGAAAUAUAUAAUUUUAAUAUUACAUAACAUAAAGAUAUUUUGAUGAAGGUAUGUAUGACUUCAUAAUCGCAAAUAAAUAUUCUUUUUUUCAAAAAGAAUAUAUGAUUUGAUUAUCAUAAAGAAAAAAUAACAAUUUUAAAUAUUUAAAUUAUUCUUGUAAAAAUGUAUAAUUUGAAUUUUAGAAAUCAAAACAAUGUUAUUGUAAAAAGAAUAUACUUUAACGAUCAUAAAAAUUAGUUUUUAUUAAAAAGUGCCAUCGCACAUGUAAAUAUAUUGGCAUCAAUUUGUACAAAUAUCAACAACAAAGUAGAGGGUCCAACAGUGGGGCCCAAUAAAAUGUAGACUCAUCUUGUAAGUGAUUUUGUUCGAAAUAUUACACAUUACGUGCCUGACGUAUUAUUUUUCUUUUGACAAAAUGAUGAUUGAUUAUAUUUAAAAAAAAGUAAUGUUAUAUAUAAAAAGUAAAGAAAAGAAAAUACAUAUUUUAAUAUAAGCAAUAAAUGUAGAAAUACAAAAUUUUAAUAAAUGACAUAAUUUGAUUAUCACAUGAAAAAUAUUAAAUACAAAUAUUAUUUUUAUUUAAGAUAAUUGGACUCAUAUAAGCUUUAAUUAAUCUCAGUUAAUGCCAAGACAACCUUCGAUUCAUAACAAAUCUCUCUUCACAAGUCCUUACCUUUAGAAAAAAAUUAGGGUGAAUAAUUUAACUUUUUUAUGUCGUGACUGGGCCCAUUUCAAUAGGUUUUGCCUACCGUAUCCCGACUUAUGGGUGAAUUCGAAUCGCAAUCAGUCCACAGUAGUUUUAAGUAAUAAUAAAAAACUUAUUUUUGGUGAACCGUUCGUUUAAGUUUGAUUGCAACUCCACUGUAGAGUUUCGUAUAUGUCUGAGUUCAGACUUGAUUAGUCAAGCAUAGUUCCAGGCUAAAGAAGUUUUGAAUCAGUUCGCAAGUCCCCUACCCCUACGAGGCUAAGAGACUCUACAAUGAUGUACAAGUUGAGAAGACAUUAAAUGAUGAAUUGUUGUUUUAAAAAUAAAACCACGAAGAGUCCUAAAUUUAGAAUUUUUUUGGGCUCCUCACAAGAUUGAUUAUUUGUACAUAAUCAUAAUUUAUCUUAUUUAUAUUAUCCCUGUCUAGAAGAACCUAUCAGGAGAAAGCAAGGUAGUGGAACAAAGUCCACUAAUUAAUUACUGCUUAGAAGAGAUCCGAACACCUUAGUGUGUCUCUUUUUAGAAUAACAAAGAAAGACUCUUUUAGUCAAGUCUUAGAAAAUGAUGAGUAUUGUACAAGAUGAAUUUCUCGCUAGUUUGUUUUCAACCGUACAUCAGAAACUAAAGACUGUGGUGGAAGGACACUAUUAUAUUGAUCUCAAGAUAUCAACCUUUGGGUAAUUGAGAGAUCCAUUGUCCUUCGUCGUCUCUUCUUUAGUGAAGGAUUGAUUUCCUAUGAAAAGAUUAUCCGGAGCAUCUAGGAAUUUGAUGCUCGGAUUUUAAAUUACGAAUUAGGUAAAAUUAGCUAUUUUAUUUCGGUUUAAAGUUUGAUUUUACGGAGAUUGGUAUUCAAGAGUUUGUUUGGUUCAUUUUGCUUAUUCAAUAAUUUAUUUGGAUUGGAUUGGUGUGUCUUUAGGUUUUGACUCAUUCGAUUGGAUUUAUUUGUCUCGAGGCUUUGAUCGGUUCGUUUGAUUAUCGCUCAAUUGAUUAGGAUACUAGGUAAAUUACUUUGAUAGACAUAUAACUAUUAUCAGAAAAAUAUUAUUUUAAGAAAUAUAUAAUUUUAAUUUUAAUAUUACAUAACAUAAAGAUAUUUUGAUGAAGAUAUGUAUGACUUCAUAAUCGCAAAUAAAUAUUCUUUUUUUCAAAAAGAAUAUAUGAUUUGAUUAUCAUAAAGACAAAAUAACAAUUUUAAAUAUUUAAAUUAUUCUUGUAAAAAUGUAUAAUUUGAAUUUUAGAAAUCAAAACAAUAUUAUUGUAAAAAGAAUAUACUUUAACGAUCAUAAAAAUUAUUUUUAUUAAAAAUUACAUAGCACAUGUAAAUAUUUCUGGGGCACAAUUGUAACAAAUAUCACAACAAGUGGAGGGUCCCACAGUGGGGCCCAAUAGACUGCUGACCCACUCUCUAAGUGAUUUUGUGUACGAAUAUUGCCAAUAUCGUGCAAUGCACGUACUUUUUUUUCUUUUGACAAAAUAAGAUGAAUUUAUUAUAUUUAAAAAAAGUAAUGUUAUAUAUAAAAAGUAUAAAAAAAGAAAAUACAUAUUUUUAAUAUAAGCACAUAAAUUUAGAAAUUACAAAAUUUUUAAUAAACACAUAAUUUGAUUAUCAAUUGAAAAAUAUUAAAUACAAAUAUUAUUUUUAUUUAAGAUAAUUUGACUCAUAUGAGAUUUAAUUAUAUCUCAUGUUAAUGCAAGACAACCUUCGAUUCUAACAAAUAUUUUCACAAGUCUUACCUUAUAGAAAAAAAUUAGGGUGAAUAAUUUAACUUUUUUAUGUCGUGACUGGGCCCAUUUCAAUGGGUUGCCUACGUAUCCGACUCGUGGGUGAAUUCGAAUCGCAAUCAAGUCACACGUAGUUCUAAGUAAUAAAAAACUUAUUUUUGGUGAACCGGUUCGUUUAAUGUUUGAUUGCAUCCACUGGUAGAGUUGCGUAUAUGUCUGAGUUCAGACUUGAUCAAGUCAGCAUAGUUCCAGGCUAAAGAAGUUUUGAAUCAAGUUCGCAUAGUCCCCUACCAGGCUGAGAGACUCUACAAUGAUGACUACAAGUUUGAGAAAGACAUUAAGAUGAUGAAUUGUGGUUUUAACCACGAAGACGUCCUAAGAUUUAGAAUUUUUGGGCUCCUCACAAGAUUGAUUAUUUGUAUAAUCAUAAUUUAUAUUAUCCCUGUCUAGAAAGAACCUAUAAUGAAGAAAGCAAGGGUAGUGGACGACAAAGUCCACUGAAAGUUAUUACUGCUUAAAAGAGAUCGAACGACUUAAUUGUAUCUCUUUUCAAGAAUACCAAGAGAAAGACUCUUUUAGUCAUGUCUAGAAAAUGAUGAAGUAUUGUACAAGAUGAUUCUCGCUAGUUUGUUUUCAACCGGUACCAUCAGAAACUAAAGACGGUGGUUGGGACACUAUUAUUGAUCUCAAAGACAUCAACCUUGGCGUAAUUGAAGAUCCCAAAUCUGUCUUCGUCGGUACUCUUCUUUAAGUGAAGAAUUGAUUUCCUAUGAAAAGGUUGUCCAGAGCACCAAGGAAUUUGAUGUUUGGAUUUUAAAUUAUGAAUUGGGUAAAAUUAGCUAUCUUAUUUCGGUUUAAAGUUUGAUUUUACGGAGAUGGGUGUUCAAGAGUUUGUUUGAUUCAUUUUUCUUAUUCAACAAUUAAUUUGGAUUGGAUUGGUGUUUCUUUAGAUUUUGCCUCUUUGGUUGAGCUGAUUUAUCUUGAGGCUUUGAUAGGUUCGUUUGAUUGUCGCUCGAUUGCUUAUGAUACUAAUUUAUAUUUCUUUGAUAUAUAGAGUGCUUAAAUACUAGAGUCAAAACCAAAUGAACCAAUCAAAUGUUGGCCACAAAUCAAGCCAAUCGAAACGAAUUGCAUAAUAAACAAACUCUUAUAUGCUCGAAUCAACCCAAGAGAGCCGCCAAACUCAUUUGAAAGAAGCAAAAAAGCUUUUCCCCAAAAUGAACUGAUGAAACUGUUGAACAACCAAUAUCUAUCUAUCAAAUUUGAAACAAACAAUAGGCCCAACUUCACAGAAUCAGUACAUCCAAAUUCCAAAACAAGCGGUAGCCAUAUAUGCAAAAUCAGUCAAUACUAUCGUCCUCAACAAAUCUUCAAGUUAAUCAUCGAUUCAAUACCAGGAUUACUCCAAAUGUGACAGGUUCAACCACCUUCUUGAGUUUCUGAUGGUGCCGAUUGAACUUGUGCAAUAAACUAGAGAGAAUCAUCUUGUACAUUGCUUCAUCAUUUUCUUGCAAUCAAGUAAUCCUAAUUUAUAUUAUCCCUCUCUAGGAAGAACCUAUGAUGGAGAAAGCAAGGGUAGUGGGUGACAAAGUCAACUGAAAGUUGUUACUGCUUAGAAAAGUUUGAACGAGUUAAUUAUGUCUCUUUUCAAGAAUAUCAUGAAAAUACUUUUUUAGUCCUGUUAAGAAAAUGAUGAAGCAACGUACAAGAUGAUUCUCGCUGGUUUAUUGAACAAGUUCAACCGACACCAUCAGAAACUCAAGACGGUGGUUGGGACACUAUUGAUGAUCUCAAUGACAUCAACCUUGGGGUAAUUGAAGAUCCCUAACCUAUAUUCGUCGGUGCUCUUCUUUCAAUGAAGGAUUGAUUUCCUAUAAAAAGGUUGUCCUAAAGCACCAAGGAAUUUGAUGCUUGGAUUUAUUGGGUAAAAUUUAGCUAUUUUAUUUUGGUUUAAAGUUUGAUUUUACAGAGAAUUGUGUUCAAGAGUUAGUUUGGUUCAUUUUAUUUGUUCAAUAAUUAAUUUGGAUUGGAUUUGUGUGUCUUUAGGUUUUGACUUAUUCAAUUGGGUUGAUUUGUCUUUAGGCUUUGAUAGGUUCGUUUGAUUGUUGCUUAAUUGCUUAUCAUACUAAGUUAUAUUUCUUUGAUAGAUAUAUAACUAUUAUAAGAAACAUAUUAUUUUAAAAAAUAUUUAAUUUUAAUUUUAAUAUCAUAUAACAUAAAUAUCUUUUGAUGAAGAUAUA